CCGGGUGUAGCGCAGUUUGGUAGCGCACCUGCUUUGGGAGCAGGGGGCCGUGGGUUCGAAUCCCGCCACCCGGA
rnacentral:tRNA from 1 species